rnacentral:lncRNA from 1 species
CUAACCCUAAUCAUUUUCCAAAACCAGCCGCCCCCAAAUUCCCUCUUUUCUUAAAUGUUUUCUAAAGCCACUCGAAAACCUAGCCGUCUGUCAUCUUCUUCGACCAAACUCACCGGCGUCCAUGGCUUCCCAGGCCAUGGACAGCCUAUCUCUUCCCUUCACCCCCCAAGCCAUGGUUGUUCGAAGGUUUCAAGGUCCGAUUUUCAACGGACCUGUUCAGGUCCUCCGCCGACUUGAGUUCCUGUGGCUCUUCUGGCUCCAUUCCGGCGUGUUCAAGCUCUUAUAGGCCUAGCCAUGGCUCAGACCUACCCAAGACCAGAUCGUUCCAGGCCUUCUUGUUUCUAGAGUUUUUGAGAAACCUUAAAAAAUCUUGUUCGAGAUUCUAUCUUUCCUUGUUUUCUUAUAUCUGUAACAGAUAUGUGCUCUAUUCGAUGUUUUAAUGAUUUUCC